rnacentral:rRNA from 1 species
AGUGAACGCUGGCGGCGUGCUUAACGCAUGCAAGUCGAACGAGAACGGGCUAUAGCUUGCUAUAGUUGUCAGCUAAGUGGCGCACGGGUGAGUAAUGUAUAGGUAAUAUGCCUCUUACUAAGGGAUAACAAAUGGAAACGUUUGCUAAUACCUUAUACUCCUUAUUAACAGAAGUUAAUAAGGGAAAGAUUUAUUGGUAAGAGAUUAGCCUGUAUUGUAUCAGUUAGUUGGUGGGGUAAUGGCUUACCAAGACUAUGACACAUAACUGGUUUGAGAGGAUGAUCAGUCACACUGGAACUGAGACACGGUCCAGACUCCUACGGGAGGCAGCAGUGGGGAAUAUUGCACAAUGGACGAAAGUCUGAUGCAGCAACGCCGCGUGGAGGAUGACACAUUUCGGUGCGUAAACUCCUUUUAUAUGAGAAGAUAAUGACGGUAUUAUAUGAAUAAGCACCGGCUAACUCCGUGCCAGCAGCCGCAGUAA